rnacentral:lncRNA from 7 species
GCUUGUGGGAAUGUGGGGCUUCAGGAAGAUCUGACGGCUGUGUUGUGCUGGGGAGCAAAUCAAAGGUGUAUGGAACCACGGAGCUUCAUGAGUUUGGUGUGUGUUUUCCCAGAGUCCAAACACAGACAUUUCAACAUGAGGCCGAAGAAAGAUGAUCAUUUUCAGUGUAAGGAGGAAGCAGACACCCAGCAUCAGUUGCGGGAUCCCCAGCAAUGGCAGCAGAAUCAGCAUUGUCUGGGAGGUAACCAUUGCACAGGGAUUUGGAGCACAUCAGGAACAAACGUAAACACAUGAGAUCUGCUUCAGGACUGGGGCAUUUCCAGGUGAAGUCAUAGAUUAUGACAUGCCAUCGUAAAAAUGUGGCUAAAGAUCACGCAGGCUUCUUUCUGUUGCUCAAUCUGAAUUCUGCACUUUUGUCAGCAUCUCCUUUAAAAUAAGGCACAAAAAGAAAGGAACUCUGCGGCUGAUUUGUCUCACUUUGGUAUGUAAAGAUUUGGUACCUAAUUGUUUAUAGUCUGAAAACUGAAACUAGCAAGGGAAUAGCAAACAAUCUUUCUCUGCUAUGAUAGAUCCUGCUGUCCACUGAAUGCGCAGCAAGCCUGUGUGAGAAUGCUGGGAUUUAUUAAUUGCAUUGGUUGCUUUGAUUAACAAGGGGAAGCUGACCAACUGGCAAAUGAUCAAUCAUGGGAAUGGAUGUGCAUCUCUGUAAUCUCUGGAAGUCAUUUAAAGACUCAGAACUUGUUCCCAAGUGACCAGAGCAUCGGGGGGGAGCUGAAGUCUUCCAGCUUUUUGUAGCAUGUGUGGUACCUCUCUUUAGGAUGAAGUGUGAUUUAAUGUAUGCUGUUGGAGCAGCAAACUGUGGAGUAUUCUGCUCUUCAAGUGGUCAAAGGAAUGCUGUGUUGGUUAAUCACUGCUGGAGCAGCAGAGGUAUCAAGCUGGCAAUUAACUGGUCUAACUAAAACUGACAAGGAAGGAUAAAUACUGUUUCCUCCGGGGCAGCUGAAGCAUUCAGCAAUGGCUUAAAGCUGCUCCACCAGGGCCGGUGGGCACAGCGCCAGGGGAGGCUUUUUAAUGGCUCUGAUGUUGCUGCGAUGCUCCUGGAAGGUGAUAUGGAGCGAUGGCCGUGGAUCUUUAUGUUAUCCCAGGCAUGCACCUUGCGCUCCUUGCACUUCCUAGCUAUGUAAACGGGCGAGCAGCGGGGAAGUGGUCUUUGCGAAGGGUGUGGCCACCGUGUGUGAAUUCAUUGAAUU